UGAUUAAGCCAUGCAAGUCGAGAGGGUUCGGCCCUCGGCGUACUGCUCAGUAACACGUGGAUAACCUGCCCUAAGGAAGGGGAUACCCUCGGGAAACUGAGGAUAAUACCCUAUAGGUUACCGAUGCUGGAAUGCUCGGUAACUCAAAGUUCCGGCGCCUUAGGAUGGAUCUGCGGCCGAUUAGGUAGUUGUUGGGGUAACGGCCCAACAAGCCCGUAAUCGGUACGGGUUGUGGGAGCAAGAGCCCGGAGUUGGAUUCUGAGACACGAAUCCAGGCCCUACGGGGCGCAGCAGGCGCGAAAACUUUACAAUGCGGGCAACCGUGAUAAGGGAACCUCGAGUGCCUGUACAUGCAGGCUGUCUGGGUGUCUAAAACACACCCAAAGAAAGGGCCGGGCAAGACCGGUGCCAGCCGCCGCGGUAAUACCGGCGGCUCGAGUGGUGGCCACUUUUAUUGGGCUUAAAGCGUUCGUAGCUGGGUUGUUAAGUCUCUUGGGAAAUCCGGCGGCUUAACCGUCGGGCGUCUAAGAGAUACUGGCAAUCUUGGAACCGGGAGAGGUGAGGGGUACUUCGGGGGUAGGAGUGAAAUCCUGUAAUCCUCGAGGGACCACCUGUGGCGAAGGCGCCUCACCAGAACGGCCUCGACAGUGAGGGACGAAAGCUGGGGGAGCAAACCGGAUUAGAUACCCGGGUAGUCCCAGCCGUAAACGAUGUGCGUUAGGUGUAUCGACGACCACGAGUCGUCGAGGUGCCGAAGGGAAACCGUGAAACGUACCGCCUGGGAAGUACGGUCGCAAGGCUGAAACUUAAAGGAAUUGGCGGGGGAGCA
rnacentral:rRNA from 1 species